UACGGGGGGAGCAAGCGUUGUUCGGAUUUACUGGGCGUAAAGAGCUCGUAGGCGGCUCAGUAAGUCAGGUGUGAAACCUCCAGGCUCAACCUGGAGACGCCACCUGAUACUGCUGUGGCUAGAGUCCGGUAGGGGAGCGUGGAAUUCCUGGUGUAGCGGUGAAAUGCGCAGAUAUCAGGAGGAACACCAGCGGCGAAGGCGGCGCUCUGGGCCGGAACUGACGCUGAGGAGCGAAAGCGUGGGUAGCAAACAGG
rnacentral:rRNA from 1 species